rnacentral:rRNA from 1 species
AUUGAACGCUGGCGGCAGGCCUAACACAUGCAAGUCGAACGGUAACAGGAAGCAGCUUGCUGCUUUGCUGACGAGUGGCGGACGGGUGAGUAAUGUCUGGGAAACUGCCUGAUGGAGGGGGAUAACUACUGGAAACGGUAGCUAAUACCGCAUAACGUCGCAAGACCAAAGAGGGGGACCUUAGGGCCUCUUGCCAUCGGAUGUGCCCGGAUGGGAUUAGCUAGUAGGUGGGGUAACGGCUCACCUAGGCGACGAUCCCUAGCUGGUCUGAGAGGAUGACCAGCCACACUGGAACUGAGACACGGUCCAGACUCCUACGGGAGGCAGCAGUGGGGAAUAUUGCACAAUGGGCGCAAGCCUGAUGCAGCCAUGCCGCGUGUAUGAAGAAGGCCUUCGGGUUGUAAAGUACUUUCAGCGGGGAGGAAGGGAGUAAAGUUAAUACCUUUGCUCAUUGACGUGACCCGCAGAAGAAGCACCGGCUAACUCCGU